rnacentral:rRNA from 1 species
AGCGAACGCUGGCGGCAGGCCUAACACAUGCAAGUCGAACGGAUCCUUCGGGAUUAGUGGCGGACGGGUGAGUAACACGUGGGUGAUCUGCCCUGCACUUCGGGAUAAGCCUGGGAAACUGGGUCUAAUACCAGAUAGGACCACUGCCUGCAUGGGUGGUGGUGGAAAGCUUUUGCGGUGUGGGAUGGGCCCGCGGCCUAUCAGCUUGUUGGUGGGGUGAUGGCCUACCAAGGCGACGACGGGUAGCCGGCCUGAGAGGGUGACCGGCCACACUGGGACUGAGAUACGGCCCAGACUCCUACGGGAGGCAGCAGUGGGGAGUAUUGCACAAUGGGCGCAAGCCUGAUGCAGCGACGCCGCGUGAGGGAUGACGGCCUUCGGGUUGUAAACCUCUUUCAGCACCGACGAAGCGCAAGUGACGGUAGGUGCAGAAGAAGGACCGGCCAACUACGUGCCAGCCGCCGCCGUAACAC